GAAGAUAUCGCAAAUUACCUCAGAAAUGCUUGUGGAAAACCUGUUAAUGGAGAACCGACAUAAAAACACACAGAGAACCCUCUGGGGUGUUCUGUUUUUGGCGGGUGGGGUGCCUCUGUGUGUGUGUGUGUGUGCAUGUGCGUGUGUGGUAUUCCUCCGGGGUACAUUGCCAGGAGGUUUCUGGCUCUCUGAAAGAGGUUUCGGAGGACUACUCAUCUCUAGUCAUGAUGUAACCUCCAGAUUCAGGGGCAGUCUAGCAGUUGCCGACAGCUCUUGCCUUGGGAAGAUUUGAGAAAUACGCGGUCAAGUCCUCAUUCUAGACUCGCAACGGAUUAUUAAUUGGUUCGAUGGCAUGAAUCGGAGGCAACGAAGGAGAAGAGGGGGCCAUGUUUCUAGACCCAGCUAGACCUUCACUCCCUUUUCGGGGGCAGAAAUGAAGGGCAGAAAAUCUUUUGCCAGAGAAAAUAAUCUUGCCAACUCUAACACAGCGCCUUUUGCCACCAGGGUCCAAAGAACUGAGUUGGAGACAAGCAAUAUUUCCUGGAGAGUUGAGAAUGAUUUGGAAGAGGGGUCAUUUCUCAGGACAUGUAUAUUCAUGCCUCUGAGAAACAGGUUUGGCAGGGUUUUGUCCCCCCCCCCCGCACCUUGCUUCCAAAACCUGCCAAAUCUGUUGGACAAGACAAGAGUAAUAGUUGGUAUACAGGGGGAAAUAAAGGCAAACUACUUCAGUAUCAAAUAAUCCAACCCAGCUCGUCUGCCUUCCGGCUCUCAUCAUUCCAUUCUUUAAAAAAAUAAAAAAAAAUAUUUAUUUAUAUAUCUGUAAACCGCUUUGGGAAGUUUUGUUGAAAAGCGGCAUACAAAUCUUCACCGUAUAUUCCUGUAUGGCCUCUGUUCCUUUUUGAACGCUGGAUGUUGUUUCCCAAUGGGAAGGCCAGCAAUUGCAGGCUUUAAUUGAGCAAAGGCUGCCCACAUAAUGAUGGGCUGAGCCACACAGUCGUGGUCUGAAUCUGUGGUCCUCCUUAGGACCAGGGACCUCCUGCCUGUGCUUAGAAGCUGCUCAACUCUUUCUUUUCACCUCCAUCACCCCACUUUCCUUCCUCCCCUAGCCGUUCCCUGCUUUUGCUUAUUUAUCUGCAAAGUUGGCUUUUUUAAAAAAGCGCAACACUAUCCUAUUUGCAAAGUAGCUCAUCUUUCUCUAGCAAGGCCUUGUUGAUCACAAUUGCCAAAAGGAGAUUAUAUUCCGUUCGCUGCCCCUCCCUUUACAGUAUAAUCUUCUUAUUGGUGCUGGUUCUUGAAAAACAAACAGAUGAAUAAAUAAAUGUUGGAUG